UACGGGGGGGGCAAGCGUUGUUCGGAAUCACUGGGCGUAAAGCGCACGUAGGCGGAUUUGUCAGUCAGGGGUGAAAUCCCGGGGCUCAACCUCGGAACUGCCUUUGAUACAGCAAGUCUUGAGUUCGAGAGAGGUGGGUGGAAUUCCUAGUGUAGAGGUGAAAUUCGUAGAUAUUAGGAAGAACACCGGUGGCGAAGGCGGCCCACUGGCUCGAUACUGACGCUGAGGUGCGAAAGCGUGGGAGCAAACAGG
rnacentral:rRNA from 1 species